rnacentral:tRNA from 1 species
CUAUAGCUCAGUUGGUUAGAGCAUCGGACUCAUAAUCCGUGGGUCGAAGGUUCAAGUCCUUCUGG